rnacentral:rRNA from 1 species
GCUAAUAACCGGAUAAGAUAUCGAACCGCAUGGUUCGAUAGUGAAAGAUGGUUUUGUCUAUCACUUAUAGAUGGACCCGCGCCGUAUUAGCUAGUUGGUGAGGUAACGGCUCACCAAGGCAACGAUACGUAGCCGACCUGAGAGGGUGAUCGGCCACACUGUAACUGAGACACGGUCCAGACUCCUACGGGAGCAGCAGCC